CAUAGAGCCCCAUAGAGACUCCAUAGAACCCCACAGAGCCCCAUAGAACUCCACAGAGACCCCACAAGACCCCAUAGAGCCCCACAGAGCCCCAUAGAGACCCCAUAGAGACCCACAGAGCCCCACAGAGCCCCAUAGAGACCCCAUAGAACCCCACAGAGCCCCAUAGAGACCCCACAGAGCCCCAUAGGGCCCCACAGAGCCCCAUAGAACCCCACAGAGACCCAUAGAGACCCCAUAGAAGCCCACAGAGCCCCACAGAGACCCAUAGAGACCCCAUAGAGACCCCAUAGAACCCCACAGAGCCCCAUAGACACCCCACAGAGCCCCAUAGAGACCCCAUAGAACCCUACAGAGCUCCACAGAGCCCCAUAGAACCCCACAGAGCCCCAUAGAGACCCCAUAGAAGCCCAUAGAACCCCACAGAGCCCCAUAGAGACCCCAUAGAACCCCACAGAGCCCCAUAGAGACCCCACAGAGCCCCAUAGAGACCCCAUAGAGACACAUAGAGACCCCAUAGAACCCCACAGAGCCCCAUAGGGACCCCACAGAGACCCCACAGCCCCCACAGAGCCCCACAGAGCCCCAUAGAGACCCCACAGAGCCCCAUAGAGCCCCAUAGAGACCCCAUAGAGACUCCAUAGAACCCCACAGAGCCCCAUAGAGACUCCAUAGAACCCCACAGAGCCCCAUAGAAUUCCACAGAGACCCCACAGAGCCCCACAGAGACCCCACAGAGCCCCAUAGACACCCCACAGAGCCCCAUAGAGACCCCAUAGAACCCUACAGAGCCCCAUAGAGACCCCAUAGAGACCUCACAGCCCCCACAGAGCCCCAUAGAACCCCACACAGCCCCAUAGAGACACACAGAGCCCCAUAGAACCCCAUAGAGACCCCAUAGAACCCCACAGAGCCCCACAGAGCCCCAUAGAGACCCCACAGAGACCCACAGAACC
rnacentral:lncRNA from 1 species